rnacentral:lncRNA from 1 species
AGCGUUGGUACGUGCUUUGGUGCAGGGCCUCUUCUCGAGCGCUGAUUUCCAGGGUGCUGUUCCAGAUGCCAUAUCCAAAAUAAAUGAGCAGACCUGUGGGGCGAGGGGAAAGGUACAGAUAAGUAAACUGAGGCCCAAAGAAGUUAAGUAAAUUUCCCAAAGUCACAAGACAAAGGAGGGGCAGAGCUGUGAUUUGAAGUUGGUGCUGUUUGACUCCAAAGCUGCUUCAGUUGUCAGGAUGUUUACACGGAAGAAGCACUGGACCAGUUAUGCUGGGCUCCUGUUUCUACUCCAUCCCUGUAGAUUCAGCAUCCUUGUUUCUAAAAUAAAAGUAUUACACCAAAGACUCUCUUACGGAUCUCCUAACUCUGACCCUCUAGGAUUCCAUCUGUUAUAUUGAACUUUGUAGUAUUUUUUGCUGCAAAAUCUGUUGAGCACAGCUUAGCUUUUCUUUUACAUCAGUUACAAUAUUGUUCAGUAUUAUGGAGAUGCUGUCAGGGAUAGUGAAGCUGUUUGUCUCUACAUUAAAUGGCCCAGUCUGUUAUUUAUUUUGAGUUCCUAUGUCAGCCCUCCUCCCCUUGCUUUGUAAAUGUAGCUUUCCAUCUCCUUCCUUGAUGUCAGACUGUCAGUUUUUACUUCUUGUUGCUGUCCCAGUGCUUACCUGGAGCAGUCAGACUGCCUCUUUUCUAAAUUGCUGCUUCCAACACCUGAUAUUUAAAUUGUUAGAGUGAGUCUAAAAUUAAGAGGAAAUGGUCUUUGAAGAAGGCCUGAAGAACUCUUCCAUGGGGAAAGUAUAGAGUGUGCACGCAUUAAAUACAAGAACCUGAUGAUAUUUUCUUGGAUGCCGUGUGUUUUCAGGGUUCUCGGGAGUUGAGUUUGCACAUACGGAUUAGGUUGCUCUUUCAGUGAUGUGUGAGGAAGGAAGUGAAGAUGCAACUCACUUCCCUGCUUUGGUAUUGGAUCCACAGCAUUAUCCAAUUACUCCUAUAUUCUAUGAGCUUAUUCUCAUCACCCAACUUUACCACCUGAUAUUGUACAAGAUUUAUAAGUAAAAUCUUUUCCAAAUGAUGCUUUUGAAGCAGGCAUCGAUUUGAUUGCAAAUUUAAUUUGGAGAGCCAAUAUUUAUGGAAUUUGUGCAAUCAAACAUUCUCUCCAUAACAUUCGAUCUGACAAAUUAAAUUUAAAAAUACCCCCAUUUUGCCACCAGAAUACACUUGCCAAGGGUAAUUAGCAAAUGGCCAAGUCUUCAUUAGGUCUUGUGAAUGGACCAGUCCAUUGCUGUCUGAAUCAGAGAAAGAGGCCCUGGCUGUGCAUGGUAUAAGGAGCAUUUGGAAUCUUAGUCAUUUCCCAAGGUCCUGCUGGGGUCCUAAUGACUGUAGUUUGGGGAGAACACUGGGAAAAUCAAUCAGGCACUAACCAUACAAGACAAUUUCUGCUUCACGAAAUCGUUGUUUUGGACACACUGUAAAAGAUCUUAUAAUAUUUUAAAAUCUUUCUGAUUUGUUUGUAUGGAGAAAUUCAGACUUAGAGUGGGUACUAGAGAGCAUCUAGCCUGGCAUUGAAGCUCACUGGUGAUAAUUGAAUGUUUACAGCCUCAAAUAUCCUGAGAAAAAUGUUCUCAUUCAACUAUUUUAAAAUAUCUGGUAUGUAAGAGGAACACAUUUAAGAGUAUCUUUCUAAUUUCAAUAAGAAAUUAAAAGCAUGGAAAUGGAAUUUUAUUUUAUUUUUUUAAUUUUUUUUAAAUUUUUUUAGAUGGAGUUUCACUCUGUCGCCCAGGCUGGAGUGCAGUGGUGUGAUCUUGGCUCAAUGCAACCUCCACCUCCUGGGUUCAAGCCAUUCUCCUGCCUCAGCCUCCCAAGUAGCUAGGACUACAGGCAUGCACCACUAUGCCUGGCUAAUUUUUGUAUUUUUAGUAGAGAUGGGGUUUCUCCAUGUUGGCCAGGCUGGUCUCGAAGUCCUGACCUCAAGUGAUCCUCCUGCUUCAGCCUUCCAAAGUACUGGGAUUACAGCGUGAGCCACUGCGCCCGGCGAAACCUUGGUUUUUAUCCUAGAUUAUCUAGGGUCCUAGAUUACUGAGUGUUGAGGGGCAAGUUACCCUCUUAUGGAUGAAAUGAGACGGCCAAUUAGAUACAGUUUAGGGUCCCUUCUGAUGCAUCAUUCUUUGGUUUUACAGCUAAAGUCAACUCUUAAUCAUCUAGUUAGUGAGGGAAGCCCUGUAGGAAAUACUGUAUGAACCAAUGGUUCUCAGUGAAGGUGGUACUGACUCCUAGGGGAAUUUUGGAAAUAUGUGGGAGUGUCUACGGUUCUCAUGAUGAUUGUGGGCACUUGUGGCAUUAAGUGGACAGGGACCUGGGCUGUUUAUCAUUCUGCAAUGUGACUGACUCACAGAAUGAAGCUCUGUCUUGUAUCAUAUAUGACUGCUGAUGGCCCCAGUGGACAUUCAUUUAAGUACAAACCUGUUUAUAAUUUUUGAACUUGAAUUUAUCUCCAUUUUACAUAUACACACAAAGCAUUUUUUUUUUUGCAUGGCUUUUUAGACAUUGAAUUUUCCAGGACUGCAACAGCUGGGUAAAUUGAGAGACAGUUGUCUCUUGUUUGGUUUGGAAUUUACCGACUUGAUCAUCAUUUUGGAAGACCAUCAUCAACAACAAUGUUAUUCAUGGACUUUGAGCAUCAAAUAACUGUCCUAUAUGAGUCUGCAUUUGUGGCAGUUGUACUCACAGUGGUUCUACAAAUGACUGCAAACAACUGACGACUUCGUUGCGUCUCCUAAUGUACGCAUGCCCCA